AUGUAUAUUACAUCAGGUGAUCAGUCUGUCCUCGAUAUCACAACCCAGACGCACCCGACAGAGAGCAGUGUAGGGUAGAUGGGAGGUGGUGACGGAGGUGAUGUCACCGUGCCCUGUGUUAAACCUAUACAAAGUGUGUUAACUCGAGCGAAUGUCAAAGUAGAAGCUCGAGUUUCCUGUGAACAAAGAGGCCCAAGUGAGGAUUGUGCGAUUCCCGUGAAGAUUGUAUAUUUGUCAUCCACGCGGAGACACCUACCAUCAUUGAGGACAACUCGGGCAGGGAAUAUUGACAACCUGUAGGUCAUGGCCAGUUCAGACCCGGACAGGGAAGCCCUGGGUGGUUCAGGCGAGGAAGAUCCUACGGUCCAUGGCGGUUCAGAUCUACACGAGGAGGAUCCUGGAAACCACUCGGCCAUUGCCAGGCUGACUGAUCGUGGACGUUUCUCUGAAGAUCAUUCGGCCAUUGCCACGCCAAAGGAGUCAGCCUUUCGUGUCCAAUCCAGGGCGUGGUGGUUCUGCCUCCGCUAUCAUUGUUUCCAACUCGAAGUACGUGAAUAUUUCCACUGGACAGACAGUUCCAGGACGGUCGGA